UACGGGGGGGGCAAGCGUUGUUCGGAAUUACUGGGCGUAAAGGGCUCGUAGGCGGCCAACUAAGUCAGACGUGAAAUCCCUCGGCUUAACCGGGGAACUGCAUCUGAUACUGGAUGGCUUGAGUUCGGGAGAGGGAUGCGGAAUUCCAGGUGUAGCGGUGAAAUGCGUAGAUAUCUGGAAGAACACCGGUGGCGAAGGCGGCAUCCUGGACCGACACUGACGCUGAGGCGCGAGAGCGUGGGGAGCAAACAGG
rnacentral:rRNA from 1 species